GAGAGACAAGGAAACGUGCUUCAGCUACAGUUUCUGUGGCUCCCAGUGAUGAGUCUGAAGAGGUUCCUACAGUGAGCCAAGACAACAGCUCUCAACACAUGUUUGACACUGAGAUGCAGAUGUUGAAGGACAUUCUGACCUCAUCAGAACAGCCAAUGGAACAGCCUUCAACAUCUUCAUCGUGGAGCUUGCGCCAAACUGCAGCCCAGGAUGAGUGGCGGAACACAAGGGCCCAUCACAUUGACUGUUUGCUGUUCUGCAACGAGGUUCCUGACAAGAAGUGCAGCCAUUGCACAUCCCCUGCCAUCAUUCACUGCAGAGACUGCAUGCCAGAUGAGUGGCUGUGUAUGGAGUGUGACAUACAAAUACACACAAAGCUCACACUUCAU